UGCCACUUAUUAAAGUUUAUUGGGUACAAAGGAAUGAGUCUGCAGCAGGAGACACCGAUAAAUAUAAAAUCCAGGUGAGACACUGGGAGGUCACAGUCUGCAAUGUGAGGGUAGGCAAGGGUGGUAGAGACGCCUCCACAUGUGAGUUCAUGGUCAAGGGCCCAACCUGUACACUGCUUGUGGGAACGGGACAUACCACCCACUUGAACUUGGAGGGUUGAAGCUUCAGUGAUAAGUCUGGAGGAGAGCUGCUAGGCCAGAGUCCUGAGAUUGCUCCCUGCUUGCUGUUUUUGGUUUCUGCUUAUUCUUUCCCUUUGUCUUUAAAUAGUUUAAAAAUUAAAAAUUAUUUGUGUUAUAUGUACCUAUGUGUGCAUGCGUGCGUCUGUGUGUGUGUGAAUAAAGGCACAUCUGUGCACAUGUAUUUGGAGGUCAAAGGCCAACAACUGGUAUCUUUUCCAAUCUCUCUCUCUCUCUCUCUCUACCUUAUUAGUGUUCCUUACUAAACUUGCAGCUCAGUAAUUUGGUGAGGUUGGCUAGCUACUGACCUUCCUGGGGUCAGCUGUCUUGACUUAACUCCCAGGACCUGGGUUACAGACAUGCACCCCAUGCCUGGCUUUUAUGUAGGGCCUGGGGAUAUGAACACAGGUCCUCAUACUUGGCCAGCAGGCAGUCUACUGCCCGAGACAUCUCCCCAGCCACUCUUGAAUGGUUUUAAUUUUUGUCCCAGCAGUGUAGAACAUGAGCGUGUGAACAACUCACUGGGCAAGCAGUCUACUUCAGAGCUGGGGCUGCCUUGCUGAUGGCUCUCUUGUGAUUACUAAAGUUUCUUAGGAUUAUUAUUUGGCAAGGCUGGGAGGAGCAGGGGGUGGAGCCUGACCUUUCUGCAAACUUCCAGAAUCAGUACAACAAAUCAGCAGGGUGGAAGCUUUAUGCCCCUUGAUGUGGUUAUAGCAGCUUGAGUCACGCUCCGGAGAUGGGAACUUGACCCUGGCUCAGUUUCUACUAUCUCUAAUGAGAAAACACAACACCAAUGUAGGACAUUUGCUCCAAAACACAGUCAGGUGUCUUCAGACACAUGGCUGAACACUCUUCCUGUCCAUCGUCUCUGGAUGGCCUGACCUGGGCUAAUGUUCUUGUCAGUGUGAUUGCCUGAGUGGGAUGCUCCAUUGCACACCAUUGCUUGCCUUCCUCUUUUGUCCACAGCCACUCUGAGCACAGUGCAGGAAUCCCAUUUCCUUCUAUUUCCUCCUUCUCUGCUACAGACUCCCCAUUUGGACUGGAGCAUUUGGGGCCUGACAAAUGCAAAAGCAUACUUCCCUCCCUUCAGGCUCAAAGAAGGGUGCAGAGAACAGCCCCAGCCUGGCUUGGCCCUCUCUGUGUAUAUCUGCCAGCCACCCCAGCUACACACCACAAGGCAAGAAGAGAGCCAUCAGACAUCGUGCUUUUCAGCUCAGAGGGAAACUCCUUUGGGCAGACAGGUGUUCUGGGAUUCCUACCAAAGGAAUGCUUUGCUCUUUUGUAUGUGUUUGUAUAUGAGUGCGUAUGUUCCUGUGUGGAGUGUGCAUGUACAUGUAUGUGUGAGCCUGGAGAGACCAGAAGUCAAUUUUGGGUGUUGUGGCCUCAGGAGAUACCACCUUGUAUUUUGUAACAAUGUCGCUCUCUGGGACCUGGGGCUCCCUGAUUAGCCUGGCUGGCCAGUGAGUCCCAGGCUGCUGGUUGCCUCUGCUUCCCCAGCAAUGGGAUAACAAGUGUGUACUGCCACAAUCCAGCUUUAUGUGGGCACUGGCAACUGAACUCAGGUCCUUAGGCUUGUGAGGCAAGCAUCUUAUUAACGGAGCUGUUGCCCCAGGCUUAUUUUGUUCUUCUUUUAACGUAUGUUGUAUUUUCCAUGUAAAUCCUACUCUCAGGGUGAGGCUUGGGGAGGGAGAGCUCUGAGGUAAAAAUAAGCUUAUCAUAAUCAUGAGCUAUGUACAUUUGUAAUCUUCAGGGUGGCAAGAUAUCAAAAUCUCAUAAAGCUAACUUUAUCCUGGUUACCAGGAUGGAGUGGAAACUUGGAGGGGCAGGAGGAAAGUGAUAGAGACUGGGCACUAGGGAUGCUGUAAACAGUAAAAGCAUUGGCUACUUGUAAAAGAAUCCAGUUACAAAAGGGGCCCCUGUGGAAGUCAUGUGAGGGGCCAAGCUCAUUCCAAUCUUUGUAUUGGGAUUUAUUUACAUUAGGCAGCAAAAUGGCAUCCCUGUACUGAUAAAAGGAAGCAAGACAUGGCAUCUCACUCCCUGGAGGCUGUGUGGACUGCUGGGACCUGGGGACACGCUGCUUCCUCUGAGCUGCAUUGUUUAUAAGGCAUUAUCUGGUUUGACUUUGCAGUUGGUGUGAUGAGCAUCAUUGCCAAUAAGAAGCUGUUGUGGAUAUUUAUGACCCUGGGACUACUUGAAAACUAAGGAUGCUCUGAAAAAUGUUUCAGAGUCUAGGAAGGACCAGCCUGCAAGCAUAUUUUAUAGUCACAGUGGACACUACAUGGUGGGAUAGGGCUCCAUCUGUACAGACAGACAAAGGCCAAGAUGCAUAUUUAAAAAUAUUAAAAUAGUACUCAAAUAGAAGUUGACUAAAGUGGUGUUUCAAAGUUCGUGCAGAUCAUUAUUUACAAUAAAUAAUGCUCCAUUCAGAGCCUGCCUGUCAAAUGAAUAGAGUUGGAGCAUGGUAGAGUCUUGACGAGCUAUCCUGGUGUCCAUCCAACCAAGAACCCCGGGGCCUUGGCUUCAUCCAUCUUCUCACCGGAGUGCCUUCAGAGAUAACUGCAGGAACAUGACAGAACAUUACUGAAAAGGGGUCAGAAGACUCAUUGCCCACAAAAGACCCGCCAGGUCUGGGAUCACAAGCUUUUCUUGUGGGUGAGAUGGCCCCCUCAUGUACAAGGAGAUUUUGUUUUGUUUUUGUGCUCCUCCCCCAG
ensembl:lncRNA